rnacentral:lncRNA from 11 species
UUCUGAGAAUUGAAUUGGUUAAUUCCAGAGUUAUAUGUUCAUGGUGGGAAAUGAAAAGCUAUAUUGAAAAUGCUGAUUAAGAAUGCAAAUUUACUCAGUAGUAAGUCCAAGUGAUUUUCAUGUGCUUUCUUUCCAGGUAAGUGGAUAUAGAAUUACAACCUAAAGAAAAGAAGAAAAAAAAUGUCCCAAGGAAAAAGAGUAUAUUGUACUUGGAAUUAUAGUUUCACAUUUCCAGCCCAUCUCUAAAGCAUACAGAAGAUCCAUGCUGGAUCAGACCACAGACUUUCAAGAGAGAUGUAGACCAAGCUCAUUCACAGAUAUUUUAUGCAAUACAUUAAAAGGAAUAUAAAGGGAAGAGAGGGAAGGGAGAAGAGAAAAAAGAAAAAGAGGUAAAUAAGGGUAUAGUAACUUCUAUCUACUUCGUGGUGGUGUUUUCUAUAAUUCA